rnacentral:misc_RNA from 1 species
GAGCUGUAAGCCUUGCUGCAAAACCAUGAACAACGUUUUUAUAAACAUAGAUCAUCUCUGCUGAUUCAGAGACGGAUUUGAGGGACGCGUCAUACCAGUGAGUAUGAUCAUCAAAUAUUGCUGGCAUUUGUGAUUUAGCCAUGUGAAUGAUGUAUGUUUUCUUCUCCACCAUUGCCACAGACAUGUGACAUAGGCACACAAGUACAACAACUAGUAGUGUGUAUGUAGACAUUUUUGAUUAAUUUUUCGCUUGGAC